rnacentral:rRNA from 1 species
UACAGAGGCCACGAGCGUUAGGCGGAAUCACUGGGCUUAAAGCGUGUGUAGGUGGAUCGGUAAGUACCUUGUGAAAUCCCACGACUCAAUCGUGGAACUGCUUGGUAUACUGCCAGUCUUGAGGUACUCAGGGGCAAGCGGAACAGAUGGUGGAGCGGUGAAAUGCGUAGAUAUCAUCUGGAACGCCAAUGGUGAGACAGCUUGCUGGGGGUAUUCUGACACUGAGACACGAAAGCCAGGGGAGCAAACGGG